CCGCCACCAGCGCCGGGAACGCCGCGCCCAACAGAGACCACCACGCGUCCACCAUCGCUUCGCAAGUUCGCGGGGGAAUCGGGGUUGCACGACCAGAUUUGGUGUUAGCUUCCUGGAGGAAAGGGGAAAGCAAGACGGCGGCAGGGAAGGAGAAGACUUGGAAGGAGUCAUGGGCAAUUUUGACAUUAUCAUUUGUGGGCUUCGCCAGUAUGCCAUCGGACCCACAAAUCAUAGACACAGACGGUCCCACCAGUCAUAGACACGGGAUGGCAUAAUAACAGGCAGCCAAAAUUGAGAGUGGCAAAAUAGCAAAUUUCUCGACUUGAAAGAGGGGAAGAAGAUAGGUAGUAGUGUUUUCUGUUCUUUUUCCAUGUCCCAGUUUACAGACUGAAGCCAUACAUAUGGCACCACGACUGGGCCACACUAUUACAGUCAACGAACUCACUCUGGGCCGGACACCUUGCUAUUGGGCUUAAGCUUCCUUUUUAAUCUUGGCUGUAGCAGCACACCCUCUUCUUCGCUUCCAGUCUCUGGCGCAGGUUCACUUGUCUUGGCAUCCUUGCGUGUGCUAACAGUACCCCCGCCUUGAGCGCCAGCUUGUCCCCAAGCAGGUGCUGAUGGAAAGCGCUGUCGCAGAGCCUCCAGAUCUUCCCAUGUAGCAAGUGACUAGGGAAGGGACGACCACUGCACCAGUCCUUGCUGCACCGCGCGAACUCCGCGAGAUACCAUGCGACGCUGAAGAAUAGCCACAGGCACUUGAAAUGGGUCAGACAAAUCUGGUAUGACAGCAGAUACCUGUGUAGGAGGCUGAAUAAACUGUUUGAGUUGUGAUACGUGAAAGACGGGGUGAACUGUUGAUGAAUUUGGUAGGUCCAAUUUGUAUGCAGCUGAACCAAUCUUGGACAGAAUCUGGUAAGGACCAAAGUAGCGAAAACUGAGCUUCUGGUUGGCACGAGAGACCAGGGAUGUUUGGACGUAUGGUUGAAGCUUGACAAACACCAAAUCCCCCACUUGGAAUGUGCGAUCGGAACGACGCUUGUCCGCUUGAUGCUUCAUACGCUGUUUGGCACGGUGUAGAUGUUGCUGCAAUAACAGAUGGAUACGCUGUUUGUCUUGGAUGAAUGCAGCCAAAUCAGACGAAGAAUUCUCCAAUGCCGGAAUACCGAAAUGCCGUGGGACAUAGCCAUAGAGAGCUUCAAAUGGCGAUCUGUCAAUAGAGGAAUGGUGGCUAGUAUUAUACCAAAACUCUGCUGAAGCUAUCCAAUUAGCCCACUUGGAAGGACAAGAGUGUACAAAGCAUCGUAUGUACGUCUCGAGGCAUUGAUUCACGCGCUCGGUCUGUCCGUCCGAUUGAGGAUGGUAUGCACUGCUCAUGUGGAGACUGACCCCGGCUAGCUUGAAGAGUUCUUUCCAAAAAUUACUUGUGAAAAUCUUAUCUCGGUCAGAGACAAUAGCAACUGGGAGGCCAUGCAGCUUGUAGACUUGCUGAAAGAAUACCUGAGCAAUGGAAACUGCUGAAAAUGGGUGCGCCAAUGGAAUAAAGUGAGCAUACUUAGUGAAUAAAUCAACCACCACUAAGAUGCAGUCAAAACGUUGUGACCGUGGCAACCCUUCAAUAAAAUCCAUUGAAAUCGUAUGCCAAGCAGCUGUGGGAACCGGCAAGGGCUGGAGCAAACCAGGUGAAAGUGUGCGGUCUGGUUUCGCUUGUUGACAAGUAACACAGGAAGCCACCCAAGUCUGGACAAAGGACUUGAGACCCGGCCAGGCAAACACUUGCUUGAUCUUCCUGUACGUGACGGGCACGCCGGAGUGGCCACCAACGGGGCUAUGGUGGAAGGCAGUAACCAACUUGUGUUGAAGCUGAGGAUCAGAGCCAACCCAGAUUCUGUUCUUGUACCGCAAAAGACCAUCCUUGAGGGAGAAGUGGGGAACAGAGGAGGCAUCCAGGGAGAGUUUAACCAAUAAUUCCUGAGCCUUCGAGUCAUGCAAAUAAGAGUCAGCGACCGAUGAAGCCCAUGAUGGUGCUACGGUGGAAAUAGCAGCACAACUGGAAUCAUGAGAAGGUUUUCUAGAGAGAGCAUCUGCUGCACUGUUUUCACUUCCUUUCUUGUAGGAAACCGAAUAUUGCAGCCCCAAAAGCUUAUAAAAAACUUUCUGUUGCCAACUUGUAUGCAGCCGUUGUUCAUUCAAAUGGACUAAACUUCUCUGAUCCGUGUGAAUAACAAAUUGCGAAUGUUGCAGAUAAGCUCUCCAAUGGUCGACGGCCAUUAAUAUUGCGAGGUAUUCCUUUUCGUAUGUAGAGAGGCCUCGAGUUUGUGGUCCCAGUGCUUUACUGACAUAGGCGAGUGGGUGGCCACCUUGCAUUAGCACUGCCCCGAUGCCCUGGUCACAAGCGUCUGUUUCAAGCCUGAAAGGCUUGGAGAAAUCAGGCAAGGCUAAAACUGGUGCUUGGCUCAGCUUGUUUUUCAGACAAUGGAAUGCAAUGUCCUGUUCUUGAGUCCAAAGAAAUCUGGUAUUCUUCUUGAGUAGUAGGGUUAAAGGCUUGGAGAUAAUACCAAAGUGCUGCAAGGCCAAGGAAACUACGGAGUUCUUUGACAUUAGAAGGUGUUGGCCAAUUGACCACUGCAGUAACUUUGUUGGGAUCGGUCUGCACUCCAGCUUCACUGAUCACGUGCCCCAGAUAGGAGAUAGAACGAGUGGCAAAGGUACAUUUGGACAGCUUCACUUUCCAUUGAUCUUUCUGCAAGAGAGAUAGUACCACGGACAGGUGCUCCACAUGAUCGUUCAGUGUUGGACUGUAUACUAAUAUAUCAUCGAAGAAAACAAGUGCGAACUUGCGCAGAACAGGCUGCAAGGUAGAGUUCAUGGCGCUUUGGAACGUUGCUGGUGCCCCAGUCAAACCGAAUGCCAUAACGCGAAAUUCAUAGUGGCCACUGUGGGUUUGGAACGCUGUUUUGAACUCCUCUCCUUCUUUGAGCAGAAUCUGAUGGAAACCUGCCCUUAAGUCCAAACUGGAAAACCAACUGGCCCCUUGCAACUCAUCCAUUAACUCCUCAAUGAUAGGAACAGGGUAUUUCCGCUUAACCGUGAGGGCGUUGAGAUGUCUGAAAUCGACACAAAAACGCCAUGAUUGAUCCUUUUUCCGCACUAACAAGACCGGACUCGAGAACGGACUGUUACUGUGCUGAAUUAUGCCAGACGCAAGCAUCUCAUUGACUUGUCGUUCGAUUUCAUCUUUGACAGCCGGGGCAUAACGGUAUGGUCUAAUGAAAACUGGCUGGUAACCUUGAAUUAGAGGGAUUGAGUGAUCACAAGAACGUGAAGGAGGUAGACCUUGCGGAAUAUCAAACACUGGUUGGAAACUCUGCAAUACUUCAGAAAUUUUGGGAUCAACAUCCCCCAUUGCCGAGUCGCUGUCCAUAGCAUGCAAUAAAUAGACCACAUGGAACAAGUCUAGACUGUCUGUAUAUUGAUAUUUGCCUUGAAGUACCACAGUAUGGCCCUUGUAGGGAAUUGACAACCAUUUUUCUGUCCAAUUAAUUUUCAUGUGACUAAAUUGUUCAAGCCAGUCCAUGCCCAACACUGCAUCAUAAGUCUUUAGGGGAAACACCCGAAAAUCAGUAAAGAAUGUGUAGCCCUGAACUGACCAUGGAAUGGAGCUGAAAAAUUGGGAACAAUUAACAUUGCCUCCAUCAGCCACUUGGACUGUCACAGGAUGAGGUAGAGGAGAUAUACCAGAGAGCUGCCCAGCUAAUGUUGAGCUAACAAAUGAAUGUGAGCUGCCUGAAUCUACUAACAGAACAAUAGGAUGCCCUUGGCAUUCGCCCGAGAAUUGUAUAGUCCGGCGCGAAGGAAUCCCUGAAACUGCUGACAGUGAGAGAGACAGUAGCUCGCCUGGUGGUGAGAGCCCAGUAUCCACUUCGUUAGUGCUUGACUUGUCUUCAAUUAAUUCCCACAAUUCUUCCAGGGCAUGAAGUUGGACUGUUGGUGCACAACGAUGUCCCGGCACCCAUUUUUCAGCACACCGGUCGCAUAACCCACGAGCUCUGCGAUAAGCCUUCAAUGAUGCAAGUUUAUCAUCCAUCUGACGAGAGCGAGGCAGGGAAUUCAGCUUGCCAGAAUCAGCCACCAACGCUUCAGGUUGUGGGGGUCGGGGCAGGGGCAGCGGAGAAUAAGCUGGUCUUGUGGAAGAAGUGGAUAUAAACUUGCGAUGAUCUGCUCGCCCCGGCUCCGAGACUUCCUCCUGCAAUUGGGCAAGAGCACAAGCAGUAUCGAGAGUCGAAGGUCGCUGUAACAAUACAACAGACUUGAUAUGAUCUUUUAAGCCAUCAAUAAAUCACAUAGUGUAGAAGCGAGGGUCUGUGUGAGACUCAUAAGCCAAUAGCUGAUCUACUAUUCCUGAGAAUUGUUCAAUAUAAGCUGCUAUGGUGGUGGAUUGUUUGAUGUGGAAAAGUUGUCUAAUGAGGGCGUCAUGUUGAUCCCGACCAAAGCGUUCAAGGAGUAGUUUGGUGAAUUCUGCCCAAGGGAAAAACCUAAACCGCGGGCCUAAUGAUUGCAACCAGCGAGAGGCUGGUCCUGUGUAGUGCAUUGUAGACACACGGAUCCAGGCGGAGGGAUCAACAUUGUAUAAGUCAAAAUAGUCCUCGCUACGAGUGAUCCAAAGACGUGGGUUUUCACCGUCAAAUGGAGGAAACGGAACCUUCGGUAAGGGACCAAACUGUGAGGACUGCGUGAACCCCGCUGCGGGCUCUCCGCUGUGACUGUGUGGUGACCCUAGAAGAUGGGAAAAUGUGGGCGAAUUGAACGGGGGCAUACCAUUGGGCGGGAGGUGGGUGGACGCGUACACGCGUCCAAAACCAGCCUCCCGACGAUGAUGGUCGGAGCAAUGCCCGUCGGGGCCGUCGAUCCGCAGACCGGUAGAUGGACGCGCAGGGCCCGAUCCGAAUUCGCCGAGGAUGCCGGGUUGUAGGUGCGGCGGCUCCAACGGACGACGUUCCCCUGGUUGAGGUAUGUUGGCGACGGCGGCUUGGACAGCGGCGACGCCGCGUUUGACCUCGGCGACCGACGAUUCCAUGGCGGGGCGCCACGCCUCGAAGGCCGCUGUGGCGGAUUCCAGCGCUGAGACGCGCGACGUCGUGGCCGCGGCGACCCGAUUUGCUUGUUCGGUCGCAGAAGAGACGAAGAACUCCAACUGCGCCGUGACAUCGGUAUGGAUGUCCGCCUUGAGGUCGUAGAACUGGUCGGCAGCAGACACCGCCGCCUUCUCCAGUUCACCAACGCGAGACUCCCAUUUGGCGUCGUGGUCGGCGAAUUUUUUGUCGAGUUCGGAGAUGAAGGAGCGAGUCUGUGCUUCCAAGGCGAGUUUGAGUUGGGGAUCCAUAGCGCCUAGGGUUUUGGCGCGGCGGGUGUAGUGGAUAGAAUCCAGAUCCGAGGAACGAUGGUCUUUGAUACCACUGUUAGCUUCCUAGAGGAAAGGGGAAAGCAAGACGGCGGCAGGGAAGGAGAAGACUUGGAAGAGGGGAAGAAGAUAGGUAGUAGUGUUUUCUGUUCUUUUUCCAUGUCCCGGUUUACAGACUGAAGUCAUACAUAUGGCACCACGACUGGGCCACACUAUUACAGUCAACGAACCCACUCUGGACCGGACACCUUGCUAUUGGGCUUAAGCUUCCUUUUUAAUCUUGGCUGUAGCAGCACACCCUCUUCUUCGCUUCCGGUCUCUGGCGCAGGUUCACUUGUCUUGGCAUCCUUGCGUGUGCUAACAUUUGGUCGACUCACAGGAGCCACAGAGGGGAACUGUGAGGCGAAAACGGGAAGCAACAGGUGGGUAAUUGGGGUUAGCACCUUGGGAUGAACUGAUUGCUUGCUGACGCGUUGUCGCGCGUGGACGAGAGGCGGGGAGGCGGAAGGUUUUAGGCGAGGACGGCGACGAGGUUGCGCCGCUUCAAUCUGUUCUGCGGGGACGAAGGGAAA
rnacentral:lncRNA from 1 species